AUGCAGAGCCAGUCCUCGGUCCUUGGGCUUCCAGCAGCCAUCCCAUCUGCUUCUCCGAUCCUUCCCAGCCUUGGGAGAGGACACCGCCAGGUCCCUGACAGCCGGGUGACAGCAUUGCACUGUGAGCUGAAGGCCUGCUGUCACCUCGAGGGGGCGGUAUUGACCCCGAGAUGCCGGCACCGGUGGACGCAACUCCUGCCACACACACAGUGUAGCAUGGUGUUCCGACACACGCAGACAUUGCAGAAUAGCCAGACCACCAACCUGAUGAGCGUGCCCAUCACCCACACACGGGCAGCUUUGUGUGUGGAGAACUCAGUUUUCAAGGAUAGAAUUCAUUGUGACCGCCCACAGCCAGCCCGCUGUAUAGCACAUAUCCCGAUUACACUCCCACCUGAGCCAAACGCAGGCUCCAGCAGCCUCUCCCCACCCCAGGCCCCCGUGCUCCCAGCCCCUGCUGGGCAAAGAUCUUCUGGGUCCAAUUCACUGCACCUCAUUUCCCACUACGCAUGCUCUCACCCUGGGUCCCUAAGCAAGUGCAACGCCCUCCCGGCUCCCUCCCCAGCCCUGUGCUGUGCUCAGCUCAGGACCUUGCACAGGUGCCCCAUCAGAGGAGGCUCCAUUCCUGCCCCUGGAGGACUUUUCCUGCACGGUGGAAGCACAGGGCACCUGUUCACUGCCCAGCAAACCUGGUGCGGGAGUCCAGCCUGGCCCCCCACGCUCGCAGCCACCCUGGGUGCGCAGACCCCACGCAGCCGAGCAGCCCACGCUUUGCGUACUGGACAGUCAUGCGGGGGCGGGGAAGUCUGCCCAGUCCAGUCCCUGGGAAAGGAGGAGCCCAAGCUCCCGGGGACGCCCGGCGCCGCGCCGCCCGGCACCCUUGUCUUCGCCUGGGCCAGACGUGGCCGCCCUGCGGGCAGGGGAGCGGCGGCCCGUGCUGACCACGCCGGCCCUUGGCUGUGCUCGAGCCCAGGGCCAACGAGGCAGAGUCCGCGCUGCCCUCGGGGCACGGUGACCUGGCAGGGCGGGCGGCGCCUGGAACGAUGGCGGGGGACCCGGGAGAGGGCCGCGCCCACGCUGUCCGUUCCGCACGCUUAG
rnacentral:lncRNA from 1 species